UUUAAUCGGCCAGGGUUUGCCUGGUGCACACUGCCAAGAAGGUGAAAAGACGCAGGAUAGGGAUCUCCUAUAGGCGGUAAAGGGAUGGGUCAGGUGUAAGUCAUCACACGCUCCUAAGCCCUGAGCAAAUCACCCAGGAUCCGGUGGAGAUGACAUUGUCAUGACAAUUCUGUCCUUCCUUCUGCCUUCCACGCACCAGGUAGAGGGGUAGGGCGACUGUCAGAGUUCACUCAUGACACAGAGCCCCUCUGCUGGGUCAAGCAGGAAGGGAUUCAGGACCGGGAAACAGAUGCUUACAGGUCAUUGUUGAAAGUGCUGAGGAGGGGCUCUGGCU
rnacentral:lncRNA from 10 species